rnacentral:rRNA from 1 species
UACGUAGGGUGCGAGCGUUAAUCGGAAUUACUGGGCGUAAAGCGUGCGCAGGCGGUUCGUUAAGUCAGAUGUGAAAGCCCCGGGCUCAACCUGGGAACUGCAUUUGAAACUGGCGGGCUUGAGUAUGGCAGAGGGGGGUGGAAUUCCGCGUGUAGCAGUGAAAUGCGCAGAUAUCGGGAGGAACACCUAUGGCGAAGGCAGCUCGCUGGGACGUUACUGACGCUGAGACGCGAAAGCGUGGGGAGCAAACAGG